GAGCUCGUCUUCUAUGCUGCCUACUCCUUUGCCUGCUCCAUAGCGCCCCCUCAUUGUGUUUUCUAAAGCUAAUUUAUUUUAAAACAAUUCAUUACAAAACCGAACCUUUUGUUACAACUAACUAACCUAAGCAUGUCAAUAAAGACUUCUGUUUUCUUAUAAAAUAUUUCAGAAUUUACAUACAAAAAACAUUCACAUUUGCCCAAGUUAAUAUGAGUAAAAAAUAUAUAAUGUCCUCUUAUUGUGGGUGGAGUAAGAAAGGGAAGACGUUGAAAUUAUUUUACCUUUUAGGAGUUGGGCAUUAAAUAUUUUUUCUUAAAGGAUAAUAUUAUUUCCUUUGUGUCUGAAAGAUUCUUUGAUUUAGAGAUCCUGGGUGUUCUUUUAGGAAUACCGGGGCAUUUAUCUCUGAAACUGCGUGAAGUGUGUGGAUCUUUAUGACCCGAGAACUUCAAGAACCAAACUCUCGAGAAGGUCCUCUCCGUGUCCAGCAGGGGGCAGUGCCGAACCUCCACAGCGCUGCUCUCCGCCUCAGAGCGCAACAGACGAAGAAGAAGACACCCCCCCCCCCAAAAGACGAAGGAGAAGAAGACUAGUCGUUGCACCGAGAUCCAAGGUACAGACGGUCUUUAGCGUUUGUUCCGUUACAGGCAGUAAUAGUCACAUGCGGGCUCAUCGAGCCGAACAUGUUUCCGUGGCUCCGUCCCAGUUUCGUUUUCCGGGGAAUAAUAGCCGGUGAUCUGUCAUCUGAGCCCAGCUGGACAGACAUCGAUAAUUGUUAAUCGUUUUUGAUUGUUUAAUUUAUUGUUGUGUGAAAAUGAAAUCAAGAUAAUUUCCUCUAAAAACCUCGUAGUGGUUCUCAUUGAACGGGGGGGGGGGGGGGGGGUUUUUCUCACAUUCGGGGGAAGUGGGCGUGUCCUGUUGUGUGAACUGGUGACUGGCGUGUCCUCAGGUGGUCAUGAGUGUCUGUCGGGAGUGGGAGAUCUUCAUCCCGGAGGAGGCGGUGGUGCAGAACAUGCCUCUGCGGAGUUUACCCCUCUCUGUGCUGAAGAGGAUGAGACUGCCCCUCCCAGACUGGGACCCCUCCAGGAGACCCAUGGAUUUGCCCACCGUCACGUGGAUCUGCCCGGCGUUCGUCUGCAAAAAAGGCCUGACGUCAGCCCCCCCCAUCAGGAGUGUUUGGGCAGAGGGUGUGCGUACGUUGAAGCAGUGUGGAUCAAGGUCAGCCCCCCUAAAGAUGUCCUUCAAGUCCUCCAACCGGGUCGCUUUUGAGGUGCUGAAGCUGAAGGACGUUUCAGACAAAUGCCACACCCGCCCCCUCCCUCAGGGCACCACCCCCACCACCAACCAGACCGCCCUGGUCAUCUACCGCGGGCAGAUCUACCUGUGCAUCAGAAAGUCUGAGCUGGGCCAGAAGCAGCAGAGGAGCAGCUCAACCUCUCCAUCGCUGUCAGCCGACAGCCCAGAGACGGAGAAUGUGACGGAGUCCAGGUGCCAAACCAAAGCCUCCCCGGGAGGGGUCUGGUCCCCCCAGAAGGAGAGUCGCAGCGCUCUCAGGAGGGAGAGGGGUUCCCCGGACGCCUUCAGUGUGAAGCGGAUCCGGAUGGAGCAGGCGGGUCUGGAGGGUGGUGCUGCUCAGGAGACUCUGGCAGGUGAAGCUAGCGGCUCCUCCUCAGGGUAUGAUGUCUUUAGCAAGCAGACGGAUGAGGACGCCGUCUAUAAAGAGCUGGAGGAGGAGGAGGAGAUUGCUCAGCUGAAGGCCCGCUUGCAGAGAGAGGACGACGCUCUCAACGACCUGCUGUCUGGACCCUGAACCGGGAUCAGAACCUGCUUAUUCCCUCCAGAGGUUUGGCCUCUUCUGGUUCAGUGGAGGAAUCUUUUCUGCUGCAGCUGCUGUGACGGGAGUGAUGACCUCUGAACUCUACACAUCUGCAAAUGAGGGAUGUUCUCCUCUUUACGCUCUCAGGGGGGGAGCAAGAACCUCCUUUUUGUGCUGUGGGUGUGUUUGUAGCAAAUCAAAUGAGGUUUAUUUAACAUGACCGCAGUCAAGCAAACAGGCAGACAUUAAAACAUUGAAAACUACUAAAAGGUUACAACAAUUAAAAAGGAAAAUAAUCAAAUAAGUGACGGUAAAAAACAAGUACGGGUGGAACAAAAGGAAAGACGGCAGCAGAGCAGAGUGAUGUGCUGACAAAAGUCUGCUUAAAAAGUGACUUUUAGAUGUGUAUGUUCAUGUGUGUUACGUGUCAAUAAAUGCAUGUUAGCCUGACUGCAGCUGAGGACCAUAAAGGUCCGUGUCCGUUCAGAUGUUUAAAAGGCUAUUUUAAAUUAUCUUCUUUUAAAUAUCAAUAAAAACAUUUCCUUGGAAGAUUCAAAGAUAAACUUUGUGAAAAUCUGUACAUUUAUGUCCAGCUCCUGUUCCUUCAAAAAAACUUAGAUUAAAUGUUUUAAAGUGUUUUAAAGUCUUAUGUAUUCAAACAUUCAAAUACUUAAAGAUCAGAUUUCUAUAAAGUCUGCUUUACUGAUGCUGAUUUUCAAACCUUCUUUUUAAAAUGUUAUUUUUGUUGUGUGGCCACAAUAAUGGGAAUCAAAAGUGCUCAAAGGUUCUGGAAAACCUUAAAAACUGACCCUAAAAGUGCUUGAGGUGACCUGGAUCAUUAUUUUCUCUUCUGGAUCUCUGGAUUUUGGCCGCCAGGGGGCAGCAGACCUGAACUUCAGUGUCAGAGGUCAGUUUGAUACAUGGAGGAAAACUGACAAGACUGAAGAUACUGUAAAAAAAAAAACAUCUUUGACAUUUCCAUAUAACAAAACUACAAUCUGCCUUCUAGAUUGGUGGUUGGGAAUGAUUACAUAAGACAUUUGUGUCGAGUAGAUGUCUUUGUUAUAACAAUGCUUCUUGGCAAUAAAAGUUACUUUUGGAAAGCCCGUUUGUUUUCCUUUU
rnacentral:lncRNA from 1 species